AAUAUACUCCUUCCGUCCUAAAAUAAGUGACUCAGAAAUGACUUUGUUUUGUACUAAGUUUAGUACAAAGUAGAGUCACUUUUGAGUCACUUAUUUUGGGAUGGAGGGAGUACAAG
rnacentral:pre_miRNA from 2 species